AUACGUAGGUGACAAGCGUUAUCCGGAUUUACUGGGCGUAAAGGGCGUGUAGGCGGUCUUGCAAGUCAGAAGUGAAAUUCCUGAGCUCAACUCGGGCGCUGCUUCUGAAACUGCAGGACUUGAGUGCUGGAGGGGAUAGCGGAAUUCCUAGUGGAGCGGUAAAAUGCGCAGAUAUUAGGAAGAACACCUGUGGCGAAGGCGGCUGUCUGGACAAUGAAUGACGCUGAAGCGCGAAAGCGUGGGGAGCAAACAGGAUUAGAUGCCCUGGUAGUCCACACUGUAAACGAUGAAUGCUAGGUGUAAGAGGUAUCGACCCCUUUUGUGCCGGAGUCAACACAAUAAGCAUUCCGCCUGGGGAGUACGGCCGCAAGGUUGAAACUCAAAUGAAUUGGCGGGG
rnacentral:rRNA from 1 species